rnacentral:rRNA from 1 species
GACGAACGCUGGCGGCGUGCUUAACACAUGCAAGUCGAACGGACAGGCCCUGCUUUUGUGGGGUGCUCGAGUGGCGAACGGGUGAGUAACACGUGAGUAACCUGCCCUUGACUUUGGGAUAACUUCAGGAAACUGGGGCUAAUACCGGAUAGGAGCUCCUGCUGCAUGGUGGGGGUUGGAAAGUUUCGGCGGUUGGGGAUGGACUCGCGGCUUAUCAGCUUGUUGGUGGGGUAGUGGCUUACCAAGGCUUAGACGGGUAGCCGGCCUGAGAGGGUGACCGGCCACAUUGGGACUGAGAUACGGACCAGACGCCUAUGGGAGGCAGCAGUGGGGAAUAUGGCGCAAUGGGCGGAAGCCUGAUGCAGCAAUGCCGCGUGCGUGAUGACGGCCUACGGGUGGUAAACCGCUUUCGACUGUAACGAAGCGGUAUUGACGGUAAUUGGUAAGGAAGCACCGGCUAACUACGUG